AGAGUUUGAUCCUGGCUCAAGACGAACGCUGGCGGCGUGCCUAAUACAUGCAAGUCGAACGAACGGAGGAAGAGCUUGCUCUUCCAAAGUUAGUGGCGGACGGGUGAGUAACACGUGGGCAACCUGCCUGUAAGUUGGGGAUAACUCCGGGAAACCGGGGCUAAUACCGAAUGAUAAAGUGUGGCGCAUGCCACGCUUUUGAAAGAUGGUUUCGGCUAUCGCUUACAGAUGGGCCCGCGGUGCAUUAGCUAGUUGGUAGGGUAAUGGCCUACCAAGGCAACGAUGCAUAGCCGACCUGAGAGGGUGAUCGGCCACACUGGGACUGAGACACGGCCCAGACUCCUACGGGAGGCAGCAGUAGGGAAUCUUCCGCAAUGGACGAAAGUCUGACGGAGCAACGCCGCGUGUAUGAAGAAGGUUUUCGGAUCGUAAAGUACUGUUGUUAGAGAAGAACAAGGAUAAGAGUAACUGCUUGUCCCUUGACGGUAUCUAACCAGAAAGCCACGGCUAACUACGUGCCAGCAGCCGCGGUAAUACGUAGGUGGCAAGCGUUGUCCGGAUUUAUUGGGCGUAAAGCGCGCGCAGGCGGUCUUUUAAGUCUGAUGUGAAAGCCCCCGGCUUAACCGGGGAGGGUCAUUGGAAACUGGAAGACUGGAGUGCAGAAGAGGAGAGUGGAAUUCCACGUGUAGCGGUGAAAUGCGUAGAUAUGU
rnacentral:rRNA from 1 species